rnacentral:rRNA from 1 species
GAACGGGUGAGUACACGUGGGUGAUCUGCCCUGCACUUUGGGAUAAGCCUGGGAAACUGGGUCUAAUACCGAAUAGGACCACGCGCUUCAUGGUGUGUGGUGGAAAGCUUUUGCGGUGUGGGAUGGGCCCGCGGCCUAUCAGCUNGNNNGUGGGGUAAUGGCCUACCAAGGCGACGACGGGUAGCCGGCCUGAGAGGGUGACCGGCCACACUGGGACUGAGAUACGGCCCAGACUCCUACGGGAGGCAGCAGUGGGGAAUAUUGCACAAUGGGCGCAAGCCUGAUGCAGCGACGCCGCGUGAGGGAUGACGGCCUUCGGGUUGUAAACCUCUUUCAAUAGGGACGAAGCGCAAGUGACGGUACCUAUAGAAGAAGCACCGGCCAACUACGUGCCAGCAGCCGCGGUAAUACGUAGGGUGCGAGCGUUGUCCGGAAUUACUGGGCGUAGAGAGCUCGUAGGUGGUUUGUCGCGUUGUUCGUGAAAACCCACAGCUUAACUGUGGGCGUGCGGGCGAUACGGGCAGACUAGAGUACUGCAGGGGAGACUGGAAUUCCUGGUGUAGCGGUGGAAUGCGCAGAUAUCAGGAGGAACACCGGUGGCGAAGGCGGGUCUCUGGGCAGUAACUGACGCUGAGGAGCGAAAGCGUGGGGAGCGAACAGGAUUAGAUACCCUGGUAGUCCACGCUGUAAACGGUGGGUACUAGGUGUGGGUUCCUUCCUUGGGAUCCGUGCCGUAGCUAACGCAUUAAGUACCCCGCCUGGGGAGUACGGCCGCAAGGCUAAAACUCAAAGGAAUUGACGGGGGCCCGCACAAGCGGCGGAGCAUGUGGAUUAAUUCGAUGNCACGCGAAGAACCUUACCUGGGUU